rnacentral:misc_RNA from 1 species
CUCCUCGCCUCUCCUUCUGGCCAUGAUUCCACAAUCUCAGGUGUAUUAUAGCUCGCCAUCGUUGAAAAUCAAAUAGCCAGCCAGCAGCCCCGCCUUUGACUCCAUUCAUUACCUACUCUGCCUCUGCAGCUUUCAAUCACCGGAAACAACUGCUUUUGCCUCCAAAAAUGGCCUCUCUCCACCUCAACUUCCCCUCUUCUUCUCCUCCUUCACCACUCCUCCGUUCUCCUCUUCCUUCUAAACUCAAAACAUCCCUCCUUUAUCUUCCUCUUUUUAGUCCUACUGCCUCUAGGUCUCUCUCUCUCCGCUUCCGCUCCAAUCAUCGCCGCCCCGGCCGCUCUUUUCAUCUGGUUUCUGCCGCCCUCUCAGCUGUUGACUCGCCAGAGACUACCAGUUCUGACGGCAGUGAUUCUGAGAAGAAACCGCUGCUUGAGGUUAAAAAUUUAACGGCAGUCAUUGCUGAAACCAAUCAGGAGAUUCUUAAGGGAGUAAAUCUUGUUGUCCAUGAAGGAGAGGUUCAUGCGGUUAUGGGAAAGAACGGUUCUGGGAAGAGCACAUUUUCUAAGGUGCUGGUUGGUCAUCCAGAUUAUGAAGUGACUGGAGGCAGCGUUAUGUUUAAAGGGGAGAACUUGCUUGACAUGGAACCAGAGGAAAGGUCUCUUGCUGGGCUUUUUAUGAGCUUCCAAUCGCCAGUUGAGAUCCCAGGAGUGAACAAUAUUGACUUUCUUAAUAUGGCAUACAAUGCUCGCAGAAGAAAACUUGCUCUGCCAGAGCUUGGACCAAUUGAGUUCUAUGCUUACCUGUUUCCGAAACUUGAGCUAGUGAACAUGAAGAGUGACUUUCUUAACAGAAAUGUAAAUGAAGGAUUUAGUGGUGGUGAAAGGAAGCGCAAUGAGAUUUUGCAACUUGCGGUUCUGGGUGCAGACUUGGCAAUGUUAGAUGAAAUUGAUUCUGGCUUGGAUAUCGAUGCACUCAAAGAUGUUGCAAAAGCAGUGAAUGGGAUCUUGACUCCAAAGAACUCUGUUUUGAUGAUUACCCAUUAUCUACGACUUUUGGAAUUCAUUCAGCCUACAUAUAUCCAUAUCAUGGAGGAUGGGAGAAUUGUAAAGACGGGGGAUAUCUCUAUUGCAAAGGUUCUUGAAAAAGAAGGCUACAAAGCAAUCUCCCCCUCUUAACUGCAGGACAAUUAUAAUAGGUAGUCUCUUGUCUCACUCUUGCUGGUGAAACUUGCUUUGCUCUUAUUAACUUCACUUAGUGAAACUCUAUAACCUUUGCUGUUUUGUUGUCGGGUCAAGUAUGAUCCAUUGAUUUGAAUAGCAAUUGAGGCUAGAAAUUUCUAUAUUGUUUACUGGCCAAUAUUAGAUUGUAUGCCUAUUAUUUUGGUUUUACUGUUGAAGGGACCAUGAAGCAUUUUGUUUACUUUGACAUGCAAGAGUCCAUUUGUGUUUCCUUUCGGUUGCUAUUUUGUAUUUGAGCUUCUUCUUGUUUAUAUUCUAGUUGCUUCAAAUGUAAUAAUGUUACUUGGACUGUGGGAUAAAUAUCAAAUAUAGAUGUAGGCAAUUUUCAAAUGCCGGAAUCAGCCAUUCUGGGAGAUUCAUAGAUUUCCUCUGUUUAGAAGUGCGAAAAUGUCAUAUACCCGUUUUGAAGUGUCUUUAUUUUACACUUGUUUCAUUUAUGGCAAUAUACAGUUUGUAAUGGUUUAAGGGUGUGAAGGAUGUAGAUGAAUAAUCUUUAGGUUAGACGAGGAUAAAGUUAUGUCCUUGUUUUGUAGCAUGGUUAACUGCUUUUGGUAUUUUGGCUUAUUCUUAGAAAUGUGAACAAGCACAAUUUAGGGCAAGCUUUCUUUUUAUUUAAUUCUUUGUUUAGGUGCUUCUCUUGCAUACAUGCUUUGUAUUCAGUACUGCUACCCUUAUGAGUGUUCUUAAUAGAAUAUAACUUGUAUUCAGUACUGCUACCCUUAUGAGUGUUCUUAAUAGAAUAUAACUUAAAAAAAAGCUUGAUGGUGGCAUAUGGUUUGCAAAAUAGGGUAGUGAUUGCAAGACUUACGCAAAAUGGGUUUCUGCUUUCUCUGCUUCGUAGUCUUAAUCUUGAUAUUGCUUCCUUUUCAUUCUAACAAUGAACAGAAAAUGGCGGUGGUGUUGACUUUACAGUGUGUGAAGACAGUACACAAGGGACAGUACUGGCUAUUAUAAUCCAUAUCCUUUAUUGCUAGAAAAUACCUAAGGUAUGCCUGCUCAAGGAUGUUGAUUUAGAUUUUAAAUUGGAUGUUUCAAAAUUUACAAGGAAGAAGAGGGAAUAGGAAAAAAAGAGAAAAAAAAGGGGGAAGGCGAAAGUAGGGGUAGAGAUAAAGAAGAAUACUUUUUUAAUGGAAUAUAAUAGAAAUGGCAUUGUUUAUUUUGAUUCUCUCUCAUCUCAUGUAAACUUUUUAGUAGCAUGAUUCUUUAAAUUAGUAUAUUUGAUCUGGUUAUACAUGAGAUAUCAUGCGACUCAAGAAAAGUGGGCAAAUUUUGUUUUUGAACAAUUCAUAUAAAUCCCUAGGAAAAGGUCUGUGACCAGGUUAGCCCCUAAUAUAUAAGAAAACAUUAAAAGUUUUCAAUUAGUAUUAUGUUCUUGCUAAGCUAGGAUGGCUUUAGGUAAUAUAGUGCUCCUGUAGCUGUAUAAACUAUUCUAUUCUAUUUUAAGUAAAGCAAAUUACUUGUGAUCACUAGUAAAUAUAUGAGGCUAUGAGUUGAGUUUACAGCCCUUCAUUCUUCCAUCUUGUUAUAGGACUUGGAACCUUACAACAAAUUUGAUUUAGUAUCGGGGGACGGGGAUUGUAGUUGAUGAAAUUCAAAAUGACACCUACUUUUAUAUAGCCUCAUCUUUACCACUAGGCUCCGACACCGGUUUGAAACAAUUUGUUAGUUGGUCCAAAAGAGCAUAUAAAAUAUGUAUGUAAAAGGGGUAAUCUUUCUAUGAUGGUAGAUGAACCUCAGAUGUUUUUAUUGCCUCAUUCUCGCAGAUUCAUUUGCUUCACAGGGCAGGAAAGAUGUGCGUGUUUUGUUUUUCCUUGAAGAAAAAUUACUAUGGAUUCUUCUCAGUUGAGAAUGAUCCUGACUUUAAUACUUUAGGCAUUUUUCGCCUUUUCUUUCUGAUGAUUUUGAAGUGAUUUAUCUUCUUUCUGUAAUACAACAAGAAGCAAAAGAGACUUCCUGGUGGUUCUUUCAAAUUCAUGUAGUUUUCUGGAAAUUUUACGAUUAUAAUGUAGCUACGACAUUCCUUUAAAAAGAUUUGUUAUGAAAUAUUGAAGGCCAAAAAUUGCACAAUGACUUUACUUCAAGAGUAAA